rnacentral:rRNA from 1 species
CCUAACUACGUGCCCAGCAGCCGCGGUAAUUCGUAGGGGGCAAGCGUUGUCCUGAAUUAUUGGGCGUAAAGAGCUCGUAGGCGGGUUUGUCGCGUCUGCUGUGAAAAACUGGAAGCUCAACUUCCAGCCUGCAGUGGGUACGGGGCAGACUAGAGUGCGGUAGGGGAGAACGGAAUUCCUGGUGUAGCGGUGGAAUGCGCAGAUAUCAGGAGGAACACCGAUGGCGAAGGCAGUUCUCUGGGCCGUUACUGACGCUGAGGAGCGAAAGCGUGGGGAGCGAACAGGAUUAGAUACCCUGGUAGUCCACGCCGUAAACGGUGGGUGCUAGCUGUGGGCCACAUUCCACGGGUCCGGGCGAAGUAAACCAUUAG